GUUUCUGCGCCGAAGAUUCAACGGGGCUAAGUGUAAUACCGAAGCUGCGGGCUACGCAAGUAGCGGUAGGCGAGUGUUCUAUGUGGGAUGAAGGUAGAUCGUGAGAACUAUUGGACCGCAUAGAAGUAAGAAUGCCGGCAUAAGUAACGUAUGGAAGUGAGAAUCUUCCAAGCCGUAUUGACCAAGGUUUCCAGGACGAGGUUCGUCCAUCCUGGGUUAGUCGGUCCUAAGGCGAGGCCGAAAGGCGUAGCUGAUGGAUAACAGGUUAAUAUUCCUGUACCAAUGUAUGAAUGAUGGAGUGACGGAGAAGGUUAUUGCAGGCCGGUUAUUGGAUUCCGGUUUAAGUGUCAAGUUUUGUAAGUUGGCAAAUCCGCUUAUUGUAAUGAUGAGGCACGAAUACGAACGAACCCUUCGGGUAGUAGUGAAGCUGCAUAUAUCAUGCUUCCAAGAAAAACUU
rnacentral:rRNA from 1 species